UGCAUGUAACAGCUGCAUGCAUGAUUCCACUUCUGUAGGAACUCAUCAAGUGAAAACUUUCUAGCUGAAAUAUUGAGAAGGCGGUAAAUUCAGCAAUCUUCUGUUUUUCUUUUUUCAGGACUAGAAACAGUCAGAAGAAUGGGCAUUUGGCAGCUUGGCAUUCAGGACAUAACUCAAGUGAGAUGAUAACAGCAACAAAAGCAAUUGUCUUGAUAGUUUGAAGGAACUGUUGUCUCCUGUAUUUGACCACAAAUUCCAAAGGCAUUCGUCUCAAUUUCUGAAGCCCAACCUGGAGGAUUCAAUCAUUCAUUCAAGGUGUAUAAUUUCUGUUCUGGACUAUAGGCGGCAUAAUCUCUGUGCUCCUUUUGUUCUCCUAGCUCAAUGGUGGAGUAAUUGCGCCAAGAGAAGUCAGCAAGUUCACCAUGAAGCAAACAAAGUGGAAUGGCAGCCUCUUGUGGCAAGUUCAGUGUCACCUGUUUCCCCAAUUCCGGUAUGUUGCUCCCUCUGUAGCCACACUUCUUCCACAAGUUGCUCGACGCGGUCUGUUGCUCCCUCUGUAGCCUACUGCUUCCUCCGUAUUGAGGAGUCUGGGGCCAACCUGUUGGCAGAUUUGGGUUCAGACAGAGUUCCUCCAUCCAGAGAAACGUGUCUUGGUAUUUUUGCGAAGCUAAUGGCUCCUGCAUCUGACCACAAAUUCCAAUGGUUAGUCAGUCAGCCAUUCUUUCCAUCCAAAUGAGCGAUCCAAUGUUUCAUAUGCUGUCUUUUGGGACUUCCAUCACACUAACCUGUUACUUGUGAACUUAGUUUAGUCAUUCAGGUUUUUCCUCUCAACAUGUGGACCUAAACUUGGAAGAAUUCAUGAUUCAAGGUGUAUCAUGGCUGCUCUGGACGAUAUAGGCUAUAGGCUGUACAAUCUUCAUCGAAGUCUUCUUUUGUGUGGGGUUUAUCCGCCUGGGGAUUCUUCAAAGAAGAAAGCCUUGCCAUUUGCCAAGCAGAUUGAUGGACCAGUUGCACUCAGAAUUCGGCCAUUCACCACCAUGAAGCAAAUUAGGUGCUUUACUUUGGGCUAACAACAUUUUUCUGUUAUUCCCAUAGAAUCCGCACCCCGCUGAUAGAGUACCUAUUUUCUCCGGUGUGUCUAUGGAGGAACAACGCCAAAUAGCAUUCUGAAACUUAAAAUGGCGUUCUACUCCAUGCCGAGGACUCCGGGAUGGAUGCCAAGUGGAGUGGCAACUGGCCGGCGAACAAUGAUGCCCACCGCCCCCGACGCCGACGACAACCCGCUCACCUGUCCCGUCCCACUCGCUCCACGGCGCACUUCGCUGGCAGGCACCUGCCGUGCGUUGAGGAAUCCAAGGCUGAGCUGGCUCUCGUCCCUUGUCACCAUGCUGUGCGUUGUUAGGGCCGAUGAGUGCUGGUGCACGCCUGCAGGCUGCAGCCUACACCAAGCGGCUUAUCCACGUCAUCCGCGUGUGCAGCACCAGUAUGCAGCAGCUCAGCCACCAUGACCUGAUCUUUCAGAGUCACAGCUCAAGCAGCUUGACGUGCAUACUCUGAGCCAUCAAUGGGGUAUCGUUUCUUGUACCGCAGAAUAAUCUCUAACUACUCCAAAUACAAGGAGCAAGCAGAAAAAAUUUGAUUCUAAUCUUUGGAGUGGCAGCCACUGGUAGUGACCCAACAAGCUGACCACCGCUUGUUUCCCCCAACACCGGCGACACCCACCCAUCCAAGUCGCCGCACUCCCUGCACCUCUAUGUGAUGCUCACUGCAGACCACCCGUCGCAUCCUCUGCAACGAGGAGUCCGGGGGCUGACGGCAAGUGCUGGCACAGGGAUGACACUUUCUCUCCCACCUCCUUGACGUCCACAGCAUCCUCCGCCUACUCUUCCUUGGGUUGCGCACAUCACGGGCGUGGUUACAGCCAGAGGCCUAGCUCUCCCACUAUGCGGACGAGGAACCUGGCUCGCUCCAAGUGCCCUGCGCCCUAAGAUCUGGCAGCUACUCCCGGUCCAGGGCAUCACUGUGGAGCGGCAAAACACAAACGGCCCGAUGCCGGUGACGCACACGCUCCCUCGACGAAGCACUCGCCACGGCCGGCUCUUCAUGAAAGAAGAACCAGGCUGCCCUCCCGUUUCUCACUCGCCUUCUGCGCUCCACUGGACUGGCAAGCAAUGGCACUUACUCCAUCAAUGCCAACCGCAUCAUCUUCUGUUUGAUGCGCCCACAUGCUAGCUGCCUGCCUCUGCGACUCUGCCGACUCCCUGCAGCUCCUACCUCGACCUUGCCAUCUUCGACUCCGGCAAAGCCUGUUGGGUCCUUGUAGCCGGUGUAAUUUGGGUCUGGCCAACAGCGCCCGGCUUGUCUAACAGCAGGGAGCAGCUCAUCACCAUCAGCCUGUAGCUAUUGAAUAAACGUCUAUUAGACCACAUGAAUAUAUAUGCGAUGAUCCAUGGUGUGUGGAUAAAUAGUAUAUGUAUUGAUGUAUACACAGAAGACACCAAGGAGUAUGGUCUUGUUGUGCAUAUUGAUUCAGAUGCAUCCGAUCAGUGAAUACCAUUUAAUAUAACUCCUUGUAAACAAUUUU